rnacentral:lncRNA from 1 species
UUUUUGAUCCGAACCAAAUAAAUCGGUUUUUUUCGGAUUGGAUUGGAUCAUCGAUUCAAUUGGAUUUUUCUGAUCCACUUACACCCCUAAAACUUGAUUUGUUUGUUUAUGCUCGAAGUGUAUUUGUUAUAACACUACAAAAAAUUGCUGAAUAGCGACAGAACUCUACCGGCAGUUCAAGCCAACCGCCGGCGCUAUAUGGUCUAGAAGACUUUGCGACUGUUUACGAGAAACCGUCGUGGAGUAUAAUAACCCGCGUCAAAUUUCCAAGCUUCAUUCCCUCUUAUUUUUAUUUCAGAUUUGUUUCGUUUGCCUUCAAUCCCUUCAGAUUCGUUUCAGAUUCAAUUUCAAGCUUCCUUCAACAUUCAGAUUCAAGCUUCAAUCCCUAAAUUUCGUGUCCUUUCUUCGUUUAAGCUUCAAUCCCUAAAAUUUGCAGUGUCAAUCUUGUUCAAGCUUCAUUCAACAUUCAGAUUCUUCAACCUUCAAUCCCUAAAUCUCGUUAUUCAAGCUUCAACCUCUCAAUUUUUGUUCAACCUUCAAGCCGCAGGUUCAACAUCCAGAUUCGUUCAACCUCCAGCUUCGUUCAACAUACAAAAUNNN